rnacentral:rRNA from 1 species
GUGCACGCUGGCGGUAGGCCUAACCCCUGCCAGUCGAACGGCAGCACAGUAAGAGCUUGCUCUUACGGGUGGCGAGUGGCGGACGGGUGAGGAAUACAUCGGAAUCUACUUUUUCGUGGGGGAUAACGUAGGGAAACUUACGCUAAUACCGCAUACGACCUACGGGUGAAAGCAGGGGAUCUUCGGACCUUGCGCGAUUGAAUGAGCCGAUGUCGGAUUAGCUAGUUGGCGGGGUAAAGGCCCACCAAGGCGACGAUCCGUAGCUGGUCUGAGAGGAUGAUCAGCCACACUGGAACUGAGACACGGUCCAGACUCCUACGGGAGGCAGCAGUGGGGAAUAUUGGACAAUGGGCGCAAGCCUGAUCCAGCCAUACCGCGUGGGUGAAGAAGGCCUUCGGGUUGUAAAGCCCUUUUGUUGGGAAAGAAAAGCAGCAGGUUAAUACCCCGCUGUUCUGACGGUACCCAAAGAAUAAGCACCGGCUAACUUCGUG